CCGGAGCCAUUGUUUCAAUGUUGCUUGCUCGGAAGGGCCCUCCUGAGCAAACAACAGACGGUGCUCAAAGUAACAACUGGACUUAAUAAAAGGAGCUUACACGAAGGAGGAGCUGAAGGCUGCUGUGGUCGUGUGCUGGGGGCUGCCCCAGUUCCAGCUGCAGGACCCCGGCCGUCCGCCUUCCGACUCUGGUGAUGAUUCUUCCUGCGGUCUGAAAUGUUAACAUCUGAUACAGUUGAAUGUCAAGAUUCUACACAGUUAACUUUGUAUCCAAGGAUCUAUAGCCGAGAAAUUUGGAGCUCAGUUUCAAACGUCGCAAUUGGCUUCAAUGUAUAGCCUCGCCAAGCAUUACAGCAGAGAAGCUUUUGUGCAAAGUGAGCGGAGCACCAGAGAAAUCUUAAAAGUUUGAGAAGAAAAUAUGGUAAAUAAGAGAAAUCUCUGGUCAAUACUCAACAAGUCCUUCAGUCCAACAAUAUUCCAUACACGAAAUCCUGCCAAAAACCAGGUCAGCACCAAACACCACACGAGAUGAAACAUAAGAUGCAUAAACACAACCCUUGCCUUUGAAGAACAUUUGCACUAAUGGCAGAGAUGGUGCUGUACGAGUGAGCUGUGGCUGCCAUAGCAAGACAUCAUAGAUUGGAUGGCUUAAACAACAUAAAUUUAUUUUUUCACAGUUCUGGAGGCCAGAAAUCCCCAAUAAAGAUACUGACUGAUUAGGUGAGGGCUUUAUUUCUGCUGACAGACAACCACCUUCUUGUUGAGUUUUUAUACGGUCUUUUCUCUGUGGCUCAUAGAGAGAGACAGAGAGAGCUC
rnacentral:lncRNA from 1 species